rnacentral:rRNA from 1 species
GUGAGGAAUUUUGCGCAAUGGGGGAAACCCUGACGCAGCAACGCCGCGUGAGUGAUGAAGGCUUUCGGGUCGUAAAGCUCUGUCGAGUGGGAAGAAAAACCAGAUACCAAUAAUAUCUGGGACUGACGGUACCACUGAAGGAAGCACCGGCUAACUCCGUGCCAGCAGCCGCGGUAAUACGGGGGGUGCAAGCGUUAUUCGGAAUCAUUGGGCGUAAAGAGCGCGUAGGCGGCCCUAUAAGUCAGAUGUGAAAGCCCGGGGCUUAACCCCGGAAGUGCAUUUGAAACUAUUGGGCUUGAGUAUGGGAGAGGGAAGUGGAAUUCCUGGUGUAGAGGUGAAAUUCGUAGAUAUCAGGAGGAACACCGGUGGCGAAGGCGACUUCCUGGACCAAUACUGACGCUGAGGCGCGAAGGCGUGGGGAGCAA